GGGGCUAUAGCUCAGGGAUAGAGCGCAUGCUUGGCAUACACGAUGUCCUGGGUUCAAUCCCCAGUACCUGCA
rnacentral:tRNA from 1 species